GAUCCCUUAGCUCAGCGGUAGAGCGUGUGAUUCCAGACUUGGAUUCCACAAGGUCAUCCGUUCAAUCCGGGUAGGGGUCA